UUAAUGAACGUCAAAAUGAUUUACGUUCUUUGCUUGUUCCUGCAUCAGUGGGGCAACGACUUCGAGAUGAUACAAAUGAAGAGGUCUAGAUGACUCAGCUGAGUAUGUUUAAUACUUUCCACGUUUGCAUCAGAGUUUCAACAUCCACUGGAUUGUUUUGUUUGUAGUAAAUGCGUUCUGGCAUCAUUUAUCGAGAGCAUUUCCUUCAAUCAAACAUCUAUUCUAUUAUAGAAAAUAUAGCUUUUGAAUAAUUAAUCUGCACAAAUAUUAAAACAUUUAACAUAAA